rnacentral:precursor_RNA from 1 species
CCUCUCCAUUUCGUUCGGUUAAUGCUAACCGAACGAAAAAUCCUAGGCU